rnacentral:rRNA from 1 species
AGCGGCGGACGGGUGAGUAACACGUGGGUAACCUGCCCAAGAGACUGGGAUAACACCUGGAAACAGAUGCUAAUACCGGAUAACAACACUAGACGCAUGUCUAGAGCUUGAAAGAUGGUUCUGCUAUCACUCUUGGAUGGACCUGCGGUGCAUUAGCUAGUUGGUAAGGUAACGGCUUACCAAGGCAAUGAUGCAUAGCCGAGUUGAGAGACUGAUCGGCCACAUUGGGACUGAGACACGGCCCAAACUCCUACGGGAGGCAGCAGUAGGGAAUCUUCCACAAUGGACGAAAGUCUGAUGGAGCAACGCCGCGUGAGUGAAGAAGGGUUUCGGCUCGUAAAGCUCUGUUGGUAGUGAAGAAAGAUAGAGGUAGUAACUGGCCUUUAUUUGACGGUAAUUACUUAGAAAGUCACGGCUAACUACGUGCCAGCAGCCGCGGUAAUACGUAGGUGGCAAGCGUUGUCCGGAUUUAUUGGGCGUAAAGCGAGUGCAGGCGGUUCAAUAAGUCUGAUGUGAAAGCCUUCGGCUCAACCGGAGAAUUGCAUCAGAAACUGUUGAACUUGAAUGCAGAAGAGGAGAGUGGAACUCCAUGUGUAGCGGUGGAAUGCGUAGAUAUAUGGAAGAACACCAGUGGCGAAAGCGGCUCUCUGGUCUGCAACUGACGCUGAGGCUCGAAAGCAUGGGUAGCGAACAGGAUUAGAUACCCUGGUAGUCCAUGCCGUAAACGAUGAGUGCUAAGUGU